rnacentral:lncRNA from 1 species
GGAAACUCGCGCGUCCAGUCUCAAAGACUGAGUAUGACAAAAAAGUGAUGUGCACAUAUUUUGUUUCAUUCAAAUUCUAUUUGUGUCUCUUGAUUUUGAAUUGCUAAAGUUUGAAUUUAAGAAAAAGACAAUAUAUAAGAGUAUAGAAGAUUUUAACGGAAUAUUCCUUUAAAGGUCCUUUUUGCUACGAACAAAAAGCACAUGAUGCUAUUUGUACUAUGGAUCAUUCCUUUCCAUUCAAAGCAUGAC